AGCAUAUCAAUAAGCGGAGGAAAAGAAACCAACAGGGAUUGCCCUAGUAACGGCGAGUGAAGCGGCAACAGCUCAAAUUUGAAAUCUGGCUCUUUCAGAGUCCGAGUUGUAAUUUGCAGAGGGCGCUUUGGCUUUGGCAGCGGUCCAAGUUCCUUGGAACAGGACGUCACAGAGGGUGAGAAUCCCGUACGUGGUCGCUAGCUAUUGCCGUGUAAAGCCCCUUCGACGAGUCGAGUUGUUUGGGAAUGCAGCUCUAAAUGGGAGGUAAAUUUCUUCUAAAGCUAAAUAUUGGCCAGAGACCGAUAGCGCACAAGUAGAGUGAUCGAAAGAUGAAAAGCACUUUGGAAAGAGAGUCAAACAGCACGUGAAAUUGUUGAAAGGGAAGCGCUUGCAGCCAGACUUGCUUGCAGUUGCUCAUCCGGGCUUUUGCCCGGUGCACUCUUCUGUAGGCAGGCCAGCAUCAGUUUGGGCGGUGGGAUAAAGGUCUCUGUCACGUACCUCUCUUCGGGGAGGCCUUAUAGGGGAGACGACAUACCACCAGCCUAGACUGAGGUCCGCGCAUCUGCUAGGAUGCUGGCGUAAUGGCUGUAAGCGGCCCGUCUUGAAACACGGACCAAGGAGUCUAACAUCUAUGCGAGUGUUUGGGUGUCAAGCCCGAGCGCGUAAUGAAAGUGAACGGAGGUGGGAACCCGCAAGGGUGCACCAUCGACCGAUCCUGAAGUUUACGGAAGGAUUUGAGUAAGAGCAUGGCUGUUGGGACCCGAAAGAUGGUGAACUAUGCUUGAAUAGGGUGAAGCCAGAGGAAACUCUGGUGGAGGCUCGCAGCGGUUCUGACGUGCAAAUCGAUCGUCAAAUUUGGGCAUAGGGGCGAAAGACUAAUCGAACUAUCUAGUAGCUGGUUCCUGCCGAAGUUUCCCUCAGGAUAGCAGUAACGUAUUCAGUUUUAUGAGGUAAAGCGAAUGAUUAGAGGCAUGGGGGUUGAAACAACCUUCACCUAUUCUCAAACUUUAAAUAUGUAAGAAGCCCUUUGUUACUUAAUUGAACGCGGGCAUUUGAAUGAAACGUUAUUAGUGGGCCAUUUUUGGUAAGCAGAACUGGCGAUGCGGGAUGAACCGAACGAGGGGUUACGGUGCCGGAGUACACGCUCAUCAGACACCACAAAAGGUGUUGGUUCAUCUAGACAGCAGGACGGUGGCCAUGGAAGUCGGAAUCCGCUAAGGAGUGUGUAACAACUCACCUGCCGAAUGAACUAGCCCUGAAAAUGGAUGGCGCUCAAGCGUGUCACCUAUACCCCUCCGCCGGGGCAAAAUUUACGCCCCGGCGAGUAGGCAGGCGUGGAGGCUCGUGACGAAGCCUUGGGGGUGACCCCAGGUCGAACGGCCUCUAGUGCA
rnacentral:rRNA from 1 species